UACGGAGGAUCCGAGCGUUAUCCGGAUUUAUUGGGUUUAAAGGGUGCGUAGGUGGCUUUUUAAGUCAGGGGUGAAAGACGGUAGCUUAACUAUCGCAGUGCCUUUGAUACUGAAGAGCUUGAAUGAACUAGAGGUAGGCGGAAUGUGACAAGUAGCGGUGAAAUGCAUAGAUAUGUCACAGAACACCAAUUGCGAAGGCAGCUUACUAUGGUUUUAUUGACACUGAGGCACGAAAAGCGUGGGGAUCAAACAGG
rnacentral:rRNA from 1 species